AAAUCCUACUCAGAGUAGACCCAUUAAAAUUAAUGAACCUAAGUCCAUUAACUUAAAUGGGUUUACUCUGAGUAGAACCAGGGUCG